rnacentral:ncRNA from 1 species
CAGUAGACUCUAUAGACUAAACUGGAUUGAGCCUUCAUAUGGAAACUUACUAAGUGGAUACUUUCAAAUUCAAAGUAGCCAUGGGACUAACAAAAAUGGGCAACCCCACGCCAAAUCCUAUUUUCCAAAAACAACAAAGGUUUAGACAAAAAAGGAUAAGUGUAGAGACUCAAUGAAAGCUAUUCUAACAAAUGGAGUUAAAUGUUCCUACAAUAAUAAGAGCUAGAAACUAAGUAGAAAGAAGGUACCUCCUUUACCGACUGAAACUG